UAGAGUUUGAUCCUGGCUCAGAACGAACGCUGGCAGCGUGGAUUAGGCAUGCAAGUCGAACGGGAUCGGCUGGAUAGCAUAUUCGGCCGUGAGAGUGGCGGAUUGGGGAGGAGCACGUGAGCACCUGCCCUGGAGAUGUGGAAAACCUCUGGAAACGGAGGCUAAUACAGAAUGUGGCGUCCGGUGGCAUCAUCGGCGCGCCGAAGGGGGCCGCAAGGCUCCCGCUCCGGGAUGGGCUCGCGCACCAUCAGCUAGUUGGCGGGGUAACGGCCCACCAAGGCCUACGGUUAGCUGGUCUGAGAGGAUGACCAGCCCCACUGGGACUGAGAUACUGCCCAGACUCCUACGGGAGGCUGCAGUCGAGGAUCAUUCGCAAUGGGCGAAAGCCUGACGAUGCGGCGCUGCGUGGAGGAUGAAGCCUUCGGGUCGUAAACUCCUGUCAUGGGGAAGAGGCGAGGGGACCCACACGUCCCUUAGUUGACUGUACCCAGAGAGCGACGCUACUCUGUGCAGCAGCGCGGUAAUACGAGUCGCAGCGUUGUUCGAUUUACUGGGCGUAAAGGCACG
rnacentral:rRNA from 1 species